rnacentral:rRNA from 1 species
UACGUAGGGGGCAAGCGUUGUCCGGAAUUAUUGGGCGUAAAGAGCUCGUAGGCGGCUUGUCGCGUCGGCUGUGAAAACCUGGGGCUCAACCCCGGGCCUGCAGCCGAUACGGGCAAGCUAGAAUUCGGUAGGGGAGACUGGAAUUCCUGGUGUAGCGGUGAAAUGCGUAGAUAUCAGGAGGAACACCUGUGGUGUAGACGGCUUACUGGACCGCAACUGACGCUGAGACACGAAGGCGUGGGUAGCAAACAGG